CAGCUUUGCAGGAAUUAAACGCAAAAAUAAAAUAAAUAAAUCUGACCAGGUGCAUUAUGGGAAAUGUAGGAGGCAGGUCAAAUCAGGAUACUUAACGUGGAGGUUGUAUUUAAGAGGCAAAAUGUUCAACUUUGUCAACUGUUUUUGCAGCAGCUUUUCAGGAAUUUCAAUCAAAAACAAAUCAUAAAUCUGACCAGGUGCAUUGUGGGAAAUGUAGGAUCAAGAUCUACUCGUUAAAGUCAUGUUGAGUUUUUAGCUGCAUUUUUUGUAUUUAAGAGACCAAAUAUGUAACUUCUUCAACUUUUUUGCAGCAGUCUUGCUGAAGUCUGACCAGGAGCUUUCUGGGAAAUGUAGGAUGCAGAUCUACUAGCUAAAAGUCAUGGAACUUUUUAGCAGCUUUUUUUGUAUUUAAGAGCCAAAAUGUUGUACUUCAUCCACUUUUUUUGCAGCAGCAGCUAUCCAGGAAUUUAACUUAAAAAUAAAAUAAAUAAGUCUGACCGUGUGCAUUAUGGGAAAUGUAGGAUGCAGAUCUAGCUGUUUAAAGAUUUAAGAACCAAAAUAUUCAACAUUUUUCACUUUUUUUGCUGCAGCUUUCCAAGAAUUUAACUCAAAAAUGGAAGUCUGACCAGGUGCAUUUUGGGAAAUGUAGGAUGCAGAUCUAUUGUAUAAAAGUCUUUGAGAUUUUAGCUGCUUUUUUUGUAUUUAAGAGGCCAAAUGUUCAACUUUUUCCACUUUUUUGCAGCAGUUUUCCAGGAAUUAGUUCCUCCGAGUCACUUGAACUAAAGCUGUGUUUUAUUUCUCCUUUUUCUUCCUGCAGAUAACAAAAUCCCCGAACGUUAAAAAAACAAAAACAACAGCGACUGCACGAGAAGCAGGAACCGGUUCCAGACUAGGAAGAAGGAGAGAAAAGAUGAAUCCAGUGAGUCGUAACGUUACCGACAGACUCUGGACAUCACUGACAGAGUCGCACAGAGGAGGACAAACGCCGAUUUAAAGACAAACCGAC
ensembl:lncRNA